rnacentral:rRNA from 1 species
GAUGAACGCUGGCGGCGUGCCUAAUACAUGCAAGUCGAGCGAACGGACGAGAAGCUUGCUUCUCUGAUGUUAGCGGCGGACGGGUGAGUAACACGUGGAUAACCUACCUAUAAGACUGGGAUAACUUCGGGAAACCGUAGCUAAUACCGGAUAAUAUUUUGAACCGCAUGGUUCAAAAGUGAAAGACGGUCUUGCUGUCACUUAUAGAUGGAUCCGCGCUGCAUUAGCUAGUUGGUAAGGUAACGGCUUACCAAGGCAACGAUGCAUAGCCGACCUGAGAGGGUGAUAGGACACAAUGGAACUGAGACACGGUACAGACUCCUACGGGAGGCAGAAGUAGGGAAUCUUACGCAAUGGGCGAAAGCCUGACGGAGCAACGCCGCGUGAGUGAUGAAGGUCUUCGGAUCGUAAAACUCUGUUAUUAGGGAAGAACAGAUGUGUAAGUAACUGUGCACAUCUUGACGGUACCUAAUCAGAAAGCCAAGGCUAACUACGUG